rnacentral:rRNA from 1 species
GUGGGGAAUCUUGCGCAAUGGGCGAAAGCCUGACGCAGCCAUGCCGCGUGAAUGAUGAAGGUCUUAGGAUUGUAAAAUUCUUUCACCGGGGACGAUAAUGACGGUACCCGGAGAAGAAGCCCCGGCUAACUUCGUGCCAGCAGCCGCGGUAAUACGAAGGGGGCUAGCGUUGCUCGGAAUUACUGGGCGUAAAGGGCGCGUAGGCGGACAGUUUAGUCAGAGGUGAAAGCCCAGGGCUCAACCUUGGAUUUGCCUUUGAUACUGGCUGUCUUGAGUACGGGAGAGGUGAGUGGAACUCCGAGUGUAGAGGUGAAAUUCGUAGAUAUUCGGAAGAACACCAGUGGCGAAGGCGACUCACUGGCCCGUUACUGACGCUGAGGCGCGAAAGCGUGGGGAGCAAACAGGAUUAGAUACCCUAGUAGUCC